UCAUUCUCUUCUCCCUAUUCCCUCAAAAUUUUUCUCAUCCACAUCACCUACCAUUAGUCAAAAACUCCAUGCUCUCUCCUCUCUCUCUAGGGUGACAUGGUGUAGUAUAGGCUGUCACGGAUGUGCAACCAUCUCCGUCAAGUUAGCAUCAGAAGGGUUAAGGUUGAAUCUCAAGAGCUUUUGUUUGGAUCUCGUUUCCGAAUCUGCCACCUAUGUUGUUCGUGAAGAAAUCACUGCUGUAAUAGAAUUUUGGAAGAUUUAUUAAGAUGGAGUUCCAAGAAUUCAGUAGCGGAGUAGAAAUUCAAAAAGUUUGAGUGUGAUUCUUGGAGCUGUAAAGGAAUGGUAGCACAACAGUGUGUUAAAGCGUUGUUGCUUUGUGAUGAAGAUGAAGAAGAAUAGCUGCCGCCCAUUUUGACAUUAUUUUGGACCCCUCUUUUGUGUUACCAAAGAUGAAGAAGAGUAGUUGCCGCCCAGUUUGACAUUCUUUUGGAC
rnacentral:lncRNA from 1 species